CCUACGGGGGGCUGCAGUCGAGAAUAGUCUACAAUGGUCGAAAGACUGAUAGUGCGACGCCGCGUGAACGAAGAAGCCCUUCGGGGUGUAAAGUUCUUUUAUAUGUGAGCAGUGGGUUCUAUGUGAACAGCAUGGGAUCAGAGAUAUUAGCAUAUGAAUAAGCAACGGCUAACUCCGUGCCAGCAGCCGCGGUAACACGGGGGUUGCAAGCGUUGUCCGGAAUUACUAGGCGUAAAGGGCAGGUAGGCGGAUCCAUAAGUUUUUUGUUAAAGGCAACGGCUUACCCGUUGUAAGGCAGGAGAUACUGUGGAUCUGGAAUGCGGUUGGGGAAGACAGAAUUCCUGGUGUAGCGGUGGAAUGCGCAGAGAUCAGGAGGAAUACCGAAAGCGAAGGCAGUCUUCUAAGCCGUCAUUGACGCUAAACUGCGAAGGUGUGGGUAUCAAACAGGCUUAGAUACCCCAGUAGUC
rnacentral:rRNA from 1 species